AUCAAUAAGCGGAGGAAAAGAAACCAACAGGGAUUGCCCUAGUAACGGCGAGUGAAGCGGCAACAGCUCAAAUUUGAAAUCUGGCUCUCUUUGGGGGUCCGAGUUGUAAUUUGCAGAGGAUGCUUUGGCAUNGGCGGCGGUCUAAGUUCCUUGGAACAGGACAUCGCAGAGGGUGAGAAUCCCGUACGUGGGCGCCUGCCUUUGCCGUGUAAAGCUCCUUCGACGAGUCGAGUUGUUUGGGAAUGCAGCUCUAAAUGGGAGGUAAAUUUCUUCUAAAGCUAAAUACCGGCCAGAGACCGAUAGCGCACAAGUAGAGUGAUCGAAAGAUGAAAAGUACUUUGGAAAGAGAGUCAAAAAGCACGUGAAAUUGUUGAAAGGGAAGCGCUUGCAGCCAGACUUGCCCGCAGUUGCUCACCUAGGCUUUGGCCUGGGGCACUCUUCUGCGGGCAGGCCAGCAUCAGUUUGGGCGGUCGGACAAAGGCCUCUGUCAAGUAUCUCCCUUCGGGGUGACCUUAUAGGGGAGGCGUAAUGCGACCAGCCCGGACUGAGGUCCGCGCAUCUGCUAGGAUGCUGGCGUAAUGGCUGUAAGCGGCCCGUCUUGAAACACGGACCAAGGAGUCUAACAUCUAUGCGAGUGUUUGGGUGUCAAGCCCGGGCGCGCAAUGAAAGUGAACGGAGGUGGGAACCCUUUGGGUGCACCAUCGACCGAUCCUGAUGUCUUCGGAUGGAUUUGAGUAAGAGCAUAGCUGUUGGGACCCGAAAGAUGGUGAACUAUGCUUGAAUAGGGUGAAGCCAGAGGAAACUCUGGUGGAGGCUCGCAGCGGUUCUGACGUGCAAAUCGAUCGUCAAAUUUGGGCAUAGGGGCGAAAGACUAAUCGAACCAUCUAGUA
rnacentral:sRNA from 1 species